rnacentral:misc_RNA from 1 species
AACUUUUUGCAAUGGAUCUCUUGAAUUUUGCUUUGAUGAAGAACAUAGUGAAAUGUGAUAACUAAUGUGAAAUGCAGAGUAUUGUGAAUCAUCAAGUCUUUGAAUUAUCUUUCAGUCUCUUAAGGAGAUAAUUAUAUGUCAAUAUCAAUGUUUGGUAUGUCAGUGGAUUCUGACAUUGUGACUAUCUUGAAUCAAACAUAGUUGUAACCUAUCAUUAAAUGUGUUAUUGUGCCAGAUAUCUUUGGUUUCUAUAAUAUUUUUGACAUCCAAAAGAAGCAAUUACCAAUGAUGUGAUUGUAAUGUUUGGUGUAUACAGUUCAAUCUGUUUAGAUUUGAUGUAUGAUGGACUACCCGCUGAACUUAAGCAUAUCAAUAAGCGGAGGCU